rnacentral:lncRNA from 1 species
NCUAGGAUGGCAUUUUUUGGUUGAGUUUGCCAAAGCGGGAGAGUAAGUGAAAGAAACAGGGAAGUUGAAAUUUGUUUUGCUAAGUAUCUUUGGGUGCAUCAGGAAAAGGAGCUAAUGAAAGAAGCUCAGUGCCCAAAGUAUGGAAUGGUGAAUCGGGCAUUAGCUUUAGGGGAAAGAUGUCUUUUGCAUGAGGAAUUUAGAAAGGUUUAGAUAAUCUCUAGAUCUAAGGGGGAUGAGAAUAUACAUUUGCAGGACAGAAGUUAGUAAUUGCAUGUGGAGGAAGUGGGAGAGCACUUCUUUGCAGCAUUUUGGGUCUAGCCUAUGAGGUUGUCAGGAUGAGAAUGUUUUAGAGAACAAUUGGAAAUACAAAUCCAAAGGACUUUAGGAAAGUGUCUGAGGCAUAGGGCACCUGAAAAGGACUAAGAGUUGGACCAAAUAAUAGAUUUUGUGGCCAGUGAUAUAUCUUUAGGAAGAUUAGCAUAACAGUAUAAUCUAGAUUGAAUUGGAAAUGGGAGGUAGGUUGAGGAAAAAGUAGGUACUUAAAGUUCACUGCACACAUGUUCUGUUACCAUGAUGAAGGGAAGGUGGCUUGAAGAAAAUACUGAAGCUGAGUCGGAUGGCACAACCCUGUAAUCCCAGCUAUUCGGGAAAUAAGAACCCAAGAUCCAGGCCUGCCUGAAUAAUUUAGUGAACCCCUAUCUCAAACUUUAAAAUACAAGGACUAGUGAUAAAAGUCGGUAGAACACCCCUGGGUUCAAUCCCCAAUACUGCCAAAAAAAAAAAGGUAUUCAGAUUUAAAUCUGAGUAUUACUGAGUGGGGCCUGUACUAUCUAUGAAACUCAUCUAAAAAUCAGGGGACCCAGUACUUCCCUUAUAUUGUGGUAAGUAUCAUAUGAAGUGCUUGUGAAAAUAAGUAUAGUGUGUAUCCUUAAUAUCAGGUCUUCACUUAAAGGAUAAUAACAGGUUGAAUUGUGUUGCUCUAAAGUAGUUUUAUGGACAAAAUUUGGAUAGUUGGAUUUUCAGGGAGCCUCUGCUUCAGUUGCCUCAGAUAUUCAGAUAGUUGGCAUGUCCUCUAAUUCGUGGUAUUUUUCCUCUCAUUUGUUGGGUGAAAUACUGUUUAGUAUCUAAAUUAAAGGCUACACUUAAAUCUACCAAGUAGCUGAAUUUAAUUAAUUUUGGUACUGGAGAUUGAAUCCAAGGGAGUUUAACCACUAAGCCACAUCCCCAGCCCCUUUAUAUAUUUUUUUAGUAGUAGACAGACAUAAUACCUUUACUUUAUUUGUAUUUAUGUAGUGCUGAGGAUUGAACCUGGUACAUCACACACACAAGGCAAACGCUCUACCAUCUGAGCCCAGACCCUCUACAUAUUUUAUUCUGAGACGGGGUCUCAAUGAGUUGCUUAGGGCCUCACUAAAUUGCUGAGGCUGGCUUUGAAUUCGAAAUCCUCCUCACCCUUCCAAGCCACUGGGAAUUAAAGGCAUGUGCCACCAUGCCUAGCAUAGCUGAAUUUUAAAUCCAGUCAUAAAUAUAUUGACACCAUAAUAAGACAUUUUAAAGUAAAGGGCCCCUUGGUCUCCAAUUCCAGAACUUUGUAAAGGAAACAAUUAUGUACAUUCUCGCAGAUAUUUUUCUAUGCAUUUCUCAUAUGUGUACAAAAAGUAGUCACAUGAUUCCUCGUUUUAAGCAAUGUUUAUGCUGCAUAUAUCCUAACUUGUUUCUUUGAAAAAAAUGCAUUAUAGCAAUCAUAUCUGGUUGGCAUCUAUUAAACCUUUUCCAGAGAAACAACCAAUGUGAUAAGGUAUGAAAAAUUUAAAGGUAUUGACUUGUGAUACAGAGGCCAAGAAGUUCAUGAUCUGUAAUCCACAAACUAGAAAACUAAGAAGUUGGUGCAAUUUAGUUUCAAUACAAAGGCCUGAGAACUCAGAGCCAUUGGUGUAAGUCUCAGCCCACUUCUGAAGGUUCAAGAACCAGGAGUUGCUGAGGCUGAACAUAGGAGAAGAUGGGUAUUUCACUCAGAAGAAAAUUCAGGCCCUCAACAGAUUUAGUAAAACCUACCUACAUUGAGAAGGGUGAUCUUUAUAAAGUCAGCUGAUUCAGAUGCAAAUCUCUUUCAGAAAAACUCACAGACACCCAAAAAUGUUUUACCAAUGAUCUAAGCAUCUCUUAGUUGACACACCAGAAUUAAUGGUCAAAUCCCCUAUUCGUCCACCUAUUUCUUUUUACCUUCUUCAUAGUAAUCCAUAAUAUGAAUGUUCAUUUUUAAAGCAAAUUUUAUGAUACCUAUAUUAUAUAACUUUAAAAUGCAGAGUAUUAAUUCAUAGUGUUUAUUAUGGAUGUUCAUUUGACUCUUGGUAAACAUUAAGUAUGUUGCCACCUGGGUAUGGUGGCACUCACCUGUAAUCUCAGCUGCUUGGGAAGAUAAGGCAGGAUGAUUGAAAGUUUGAGGAUAGCCUGGGCAAUUUAGUGAAUGACCUGUCUGAAAAUUUAAAAAAUAAAAGUGGCUCAGUAGUAAGGUGACUCUGGCUUCAAUCCCCAGUACUGGGGUGGGGGUGGGGGGGGAUGCUGCUAAUUGCUUUUUCUCUUUAAACAGUACUUACAGGGCUGGGAAUGUAGCUCAGUCGCUAGAGUGCUUGCCUCACAUGCACAAUGCCCUGGAUUCAAUCCCCAGAACUCCCCCCCCCCAAAAAAAAGAUUAUCUAUCUAUAUAUGUAUACACACACACACACAUAUAUAUAUAUUAAAUAUAUACUGUGCAUAUAUAAUAUGUAUUAUAUAUACUGUGUGUGUGUGUGUGUAUACACACACACAGUACUUAAGUGAAGUAAAUAUCCUUGUACCUACCUCCUACACAAAAUUGCAUUUAUUUGGGGCACAUUUACCAAUCAAUCAGUGCAGUUGGUAGAUUGAACAGGGUGUGUGUUGUUUUUCGUACUGGGAGUGAACCUAGCGGUGUUUUACCAGUGAGCUACACCUCCAGCUCCCUUUUAAUUUUUAUUUUGAGACAGUUUCACUAAGUUGCCUAGGCCGACUUCAAACUUGUAAUCCUCCACCCUCAGCCUCCCAAGUAACUGGGAUUGUACCACAGCACCCUGCUUUAAGUUUUAUUCUAAAUACACAAAUCAGAGUGUAACUGUCAUGAUAUUUGCUUCUUAAUACUUUUUGUACUGGGUAUGCAAUGCAUUCUUGUAAUCCCAGUGACUCAGGAGGCUGAGGUAGGAGGAUUGCAAGUUUGAAGACAGCCUCAGCAACUUAGCAAAACCCUGCCUCAAAGUAAAAAUUUAAAAGAAUUAGAGAUGUAGCUCAAUUGUGAAGCUUUCCUGGAUUCAACACCCAGUGCCAAAAACAAACAACAACAAAAUAAAACAACAUCUUUGUGUGAAUGUGUGGUGCUAACGAUUGAAACGAGGGUCUCACAUAUGCUAAGCAAGUGCUCUACCUGUCAGCCACACUUCCAACUCAACAUUUGCUUUUUUUUUUUUUUUUAAUUUUGACACAAGGUCUUGAUAACUUGUUUAGUGAACUCGUUAAAUUGCUGAGGCUAGCUUUGAACCUGCCAUCUUCCUGCCUCACUUCCCCCUUGGGAUCACAGGCAUGUGCCACCAUGCCCAGCAACAUUUGUUUCUUGAAAUUUGAAAUUUUCUUAGUUGCCUACCUGGCAUACUUAAGUUUAAAGAGAAUGUGUGUAAUGGGUUGGGGAUGUAGCUCAAUGGUAAAGUGCUUGCCCAGCAUAUAUAAAACCCUGGGUUCAAUCCCCAGUACCACCAAACAACAUCAACAAAAUGUAUAUUAUCUUCUUGCUGUUUAUAGUAAUUUCUGUUAAUAGUUAUCCUUACUAUUGAAAUUCUUUGUAUUACAUUUUUGCCUAUUUAAUUUUAAAGAAUUGUGUUAAAAAUCUCUGUACAAAUAUAGAUUUAUCAGUUUCUUAUAUUUCA